GACAGAGGGUGCAAACGUUGCUCGGAAUUACUGGGCGUAAAGGGCGUGUAGGCGGUCAAGUAAGUGGAACGUGAAAUCCCUCGGCUCACCCGAGGAUCUGCGUCCCAAACUGCUUGGCUUGAGUAUGGGAGAGGAUGAGGGAAUUCCUGGUGUAGCGGUGAAAUGCGCAGAUAUCAGGAGGAACACCAACGGCGAAGGGCAGCUCGCUAGGACGGUACUGACGCUGGAGACGCGAAAGCGUGGGGAGCGAACAGG
rnacentral:rRNA from 1 species